rnacentral:rRNA from 1 species
AUUGAACGCUGGCGGCAGGCCUAACACAUGCAAGUCGAGCGGAGCGGCGGACGGGUGAGUAAUGCCUAGGACUCUGCCUGGUAGUGGGGGAUAACGUCCGGAAACGGGCGCUAAUACCGCAUACUAUCAAAUGAGCAUAGGUCGGCAUAGCCAGUUGGUGGGGUAAAGGCCUACCAAGGCGACGAUCCGUAACUGGUCUGAGAGGAUGAUUCGUCACACUGGAACUGAGACAAGGUCCAGUCUCCUACGGGAGGCAGCAGUGGGGAAUAUUGGACAAUGGGCGAAAGCCUGAGCCAGCCAUGCCGCGUGUGUGAAGAAGGGCUUCGGAUUGUAAAGCACUGUAAGUUGGGAGGCGUUACCAACAGAAUAAGAACCGGCUAACUUCGUGCCAGCAGCCGCGGUAAUAC